rnacentral:rRNA from 1 species
UACGUAGGGUGCGAGCGUUAAUCGGAAUUACUGGGCGUAAAGCGUGCGCAGGCGGUUUGUUAAGACAGAUGUGAAAUCCCCGGGCUUAACCUGGGAACUGCAUUUGUGACUGGCAAGCUAGAGUAUGGCAGAGGGGGGUAGAAUUCCACGUGUAGCAGUGAAAUGCGUAGGGAUGUGGAGGAAUACCGAUGGCGAAGGCAGCCCCCUGGGAUAACACUGACGCUCAUGCACGAAAGCGUGGGGAGCAAACAGG